GAAUUGCUGGUGACAGCAGAUGCAUGAGCAAACUGUGCUGUUGGUGGCAUGUAAUCAACCACCGACUCUGAAUAAGUCUUCAGCUGGGUUUCUUCGCUCAAUAAGAGAGCGUACAAUUCAUCGAAGGUGAUUGAGGUAUUUCGAGCUUCAAUAGCUCCGGCAAACGGUCUGUACUCAGUUCCAAGACCAUCAAGGAUAUCGGUGACUAGGGUAUCCUCAGACACAAGCUCAUUAAGGACAGUCAGUUGGUCAAAAAUUGUUUUGGCCCUUCUCAUAUACAAAUCCACUGAAUCAGCAUCUUUCUUAAGAUGCUUCAUCUGCUUUCGUAGCUGAAUAAUCUGGGUUCUAGCACCAGUUGAAAAAAUAGUUUCUAAUUUAUUCCAUGCUUGCUUCGCAGUGGAGGAUCCAACAACCUGAGGCAGCAGCUGUUCAGAAAUUGACGCAAACAGCCAUGAUAGCACGAGUUGGUCUUGACAAUACCAACGUUGAUACUCGGGGUUGGGUUGUCCAUCAGCCAAAGUUUUGCUUGGCAGCAAGAUUGUACCCAUUGAGGAGAGGAAGAAUCUGUCCUUUCCAGAGGAGAUAAUUUGAAGAUGUGAGCUUCACCGAAGAAGUUGAGAAACAUUCGGGAUUGAUGAAGAAGAAGAAACAAAACAAGGGCUGAAGUGGAGUCUGCCAUGGAUGGCUAAUAAUGGCUCUGAUACCAUUUAAGUUAUGAACUGAACUUAUAUUAUUGUAUUGCAUUCUUAGAUCUAAACAUCAAUGCCAAUUUUAAGGUGAGUAAAACAUUCCCAAUUUCUGAUGCAGGAGUUAAAGAAAAUGGUUAAUCUCGUUUUCUUUCAUUUUCUUUCUUUUUUCUAUUUUAUGAAGUCAGCUGUGAU
rnacentral:misc_RNA from 1 species